GGAACCUGCUCGUCGUUGAAUAUGCCUGGUGCUCUCCUGCCUCCUUCGUGCAUGACUGCCCGUGAAUUUCCUCGUCCAUCGGCCGAUGCGUUAUCCAGCCCUGUUCGGUAGAUGCAUUUCUGGGCAUCAGUACCUGUACUUCCUUCCGUUAAUUGAUCUAGGACUCUUGUUGCCCCGGUGAGUUAAAUCUCUUGUUUGUCCAUCGAUCUGUUUAUAACUUUAUAUUAGUUAUACUUGCCCGUUGCAAUCUUGACUUGCUUUUCCUACAAAAUCGGUCGUGUUCGUUCUUCUUCUUCUUCUUCUUCUUCUUCUUUUUCUUGGCUCCUUAUUCUUGUUAAUUACUAGAGUAGUCUGUCAAAAUAAAUAAAUAGAACAGCUUGUCAAGUUCAUACUCAUUCAGAUUUAGGCAAGGUAGAGUAGUUGACUCGAUCGUAGAAAAACUGUCAUCCUCUGUUCAUCAUCGUAGCGGACGGGAUUUGUGUUAAAUUCUAGCCCCCUCGCAAAAAAUAGCUUCUGCCAUCGGUUUUGGAUGGGGCACAGUGCCACGUUUCGUUUCUCAGAUUCUUCUUUCGAGUCGGUUUUCGUUUCUCAGAAUCUCAGAUGAAGGCGGUGCCGGCCGUCCAUAUCUCUUUUCCAAAAAAUAAUAAAUAGCCAUUAAUAAGGAAACAAAAAAGGAGAUCAACGCCCCCUCCGAUUACUGCGUUCCUAAGUAUUUCCGUCCAUAUAUGCACGGCACCGGUGGAGUAAAAAGUUUCCUUCUACUCUAUGAAAGUCCUCAUCUACGUAUGUUCCUCGAAACCACCCGUUUCAUCCAAUUCCCCUCUCUGUUUCAGAAAAAAUAAGAACAAGAACACAUAUAAAUCUCUUCUCAUUCCUCUACACCAAGAACUAGGUAAGAUGGUUUAUGGUUUUGUAUAGAUCUUUAUGUAUCUAGAUCGCUGCAUAUUUCCAUGUAUCUGAAUCACUUCCAGCAUAGAUCUCCAUCUAUGGUUUUGUAUAAACUGCUGGAAUUUUGUCUAUUUUGGGCCUAGCCCAAUAGCAAUUUCAGAAAUUCUUAAUAAAUCUUAGAGGCUCACACAGCCCAUUCGUGCAAGGCAAGAGGUGGAACUAAAGUUUAGUCCUACAUUGCUAGUUUAGAGGGAGUUUGACCUCUUUAUAAGGAGGUUCUUUCCCCACUUGUAUGAGCAUGAGAACAAGAGGGACAUCCACGCGCGCUCCUCCGCCGCCCGCCUCGUCCCGCCGCGCCGCGGGUUGCGGGAAUGAGCCGAUGUCUAAAUUUUUGCCACGCACUACGGGUAUACGAAAGGUCACACGGAAGCUGAAAAGAUUUUUGCGAAAGUGGAGUUCGAAUGCGAACGGUGCAACCCUUCGGCUGCUGGCUGUUCGCUUCAUCUCCGUCUCUUCGUUUCACCUCCCGUCGCUGCCCUCUCGCCUCCUUCUCUUGCGCCUAUAAAAGGGAGGUCGCUCCUCCCAGAGAGACGCACCAGAACUACUCCUUCCCUCGCCAUCGGUUCCAUCUCUGAGCUGCUGCUGUCUUCCUCAUCCCGGCUUGCGGCGUGCACCGCACGUCGGGACAGUAGGCCUCCGAAACCGCACCUUUUGAGUCCUGUACGGGAGAAGGGUGAUAAGGUUUUUGGGGAGCGCUCAGCGCGACUACUGGCUGCUUCAUCACGGACGAUCCGGUCGCCGACGACUACUUUCCCGACGACGACUUCUUCCCCGACGUCCAUGACCUCCUCGACGACAUGGCAGACGAGGACACCGACCCCAAGUCCAGCGCUUCUGCUGCUGCCGUCCCGUACAUAUUCUUCUCCUUUCUAUUAGAGGUCCUGCUACAGUCCCUUGUUCUAGUAUUUGCCCUAGAUAUGUUAGACUCUAUUUCAUGUAUGCAACUUGCUAUAUUGUCUGCUCUAGAUAUGUUUAGUUACAGUUCAUAUAUGAAGAUGUUGUUUACCUUCUCUUUGUCAAAUCGCAUGGCGUGUUUUAUCACUACUAUUCUGGUCAUGCUUUAUCUAGUAUUUCUGUUAAUAAAAUAAUUCGGUAAAUUGCUCAUAUUUCCAACAAUCCAAAAACCUUAUUAUAGGCAAUUUACCCUGAGUGGUUUUGCUGCUUCCAUGAGACCUCCUAUGUUUGAGGGUAUCCACUAUAAGAGGUGGCGCGUGAGAGCAGUCUUAUGGUUUCAAACCAUGAGUUGCUAUGACGCCACUCUAGGCAAACCUGAAGGAGAGCUUGAUGCUCAACAGGCACAAGCUUUUCAGAAAAUGGAUACUCUGUUUAAGGCUGCUCUCUUGAGUGUUCUCGGUGAGAACAUAGUUGAUGCUUAUGCAUCAAUUGAUAAUGGAAAAGAUAUGUGGGAUGCACUCGAGGCCAAGUUUGGGGUCUCGGAUGCUGGCACUGAGCUGUACAUCAUGGAGCAAUUCUAUGAUUACAGGAUGACUGAAGAGCGCUCCGUGGUUGAGCAAGCUCAUGAGAUACAGCCAUUUGCUAGAGAAUUUGAGCACUUCAGUUGUAUGCUACCGGACAAGUUUGUUGCCGGAGGUAUCAUCACUAAGCUUCCUCCUUCGUGGAGGAACUUUGCUACCUUACUGAAGCAUAAGAGACAGGAGUUUUCCGUCCCGUAUCUCAUUGGCACUCUUGAUGUGGAAGAAAAGGCGAGAGCAAAGGAUACACGUGCUCGAGGUAUUGAAUGAGGAUCUAGUGCCAAUCUGGUACAAAAGAAGAACUUCCAGCCCCACAAGUUCAAGAACAAGGGCAAGUUUGAUGGUAAAGCAAAGUUUGAUGGGAAGAAUAAGGUUGUGCAGCACACAAACUUCAAGAAAAAGAAUGACAAGAAGAAAGGUGCUUGUCAUGUGUGUGGCGAUCCUGAUCAUUGGGCUCCUAGUUGCCCUAAUCGCUAUGACAAGCGUCACCCUGGGAAAGGCGGCAAGACCGCUAAUGUUGUCAUUGGAGACACUGACAUGAAGGAUGAUGGGUAUGGUAUAUUUCCCACUAUUCUUUCAGUAUGUCAUUCGCCUGAUUGGUUGAUUGACACGGGUGCUAAUGUGCAUGUAUGCGGUGAUAUUUCCAUGUUUUGGUCUUACCAGACCGCAGGGACUUCAACCAUGCUGAUGGGCGACGGUUCAAGUGCUUCUGUUCGUGGUGUUGGCACGGUCGAUCUGAAGUUUACUUCGAGGAAGAUCGUGCGGCUGAAGAAUGUGCAUUAUGUCCCCUCCGUCAAUAAAAAUCUUGUUAGCGGGUCUCUUCUGUGUAGAGAUGGCUACAAGCUUGUCUUUGAGUCGAAUAAAUUUUUAAUAUCCAAGUAUGGAACCUUUGUUGGUAAAGGCUAUGAGUCAGGAGGUCUGUUUCGUUUAUCCUUAUCAGACGUUUGCAAUAAAGUUUUUAAUCAUAUUUGCAACAAUAGUGAAUCCAGUGUGUGGCAUUCACGUCUCUGUCAUGUUAAUUUUGGUUGCAUGUCGCGACUAGCGAAGUUGAACUUAAUCCCUAGUUUCACCACUGUCAAGGGAUCUAAGUGUCAAGUUUGUGUGCAAGCUAAGCAACCUCGUAAGUCUCACACGACUGCGGAAACGAGAAAUCUUGCACCACUAGAGCUCAUACAUUCAGAUUUAUGUGAAAUGAAUGGUGUUUUGACAAAAGGUGGAAAGAAAUAUUUCAUGACGUUAAUUGAUGACUCCACUAGAUACUGCCGUGUGUAUCUUCUGAAAUAUAAGGAUGAGGCUUUGAACUUUUUCAAGAUCUAUAAAGCUGAAGUGGAAAAUCAACUUGAUCGGAAAAUCAAGAGGCUUAGGUCGGACCGUGGUGGAGAGUAUUUUUCUAAUGAAUUUGAUGCUUUUUGUGCGGAACAUGGUAUAAUCCACGAGAGGACGCCUCCCUAUUCACCUCAGUAAAAUGGGGUGGCCGAAAGAAAGAACCGUACUCUAACUGAUUUGGUUAACGCCAUGUUAGACACAUCGGGUCUCUCCAAGGCAUGGUGGGGGGAGGCGAUAUUGACGGCAUGUCAUGUCCUAAACCGAGUUCCCACAAAGAACAAAGAGAUAACUCCAUUCGAGGAAUGGGAGAAGAAAAGGUUAAAACUCUCUUAUCUACGAACAUGGGGUUGUUUGGCGAAAGUCAAUGUUCCAAUUCCAAAGAAGCAGAAGCUUGGACCAAAGACUGUGGAUUGUGUUUUCCUGGGAUAUGCUUUUCAUAGCAUUGGCUAUAGAUUCUUGAUUGUAAAAUCUGAGGUACCUGACAUGCAUGUCGGUACGAUCAUGGAGUCGAAUGAUGCGACUUUCUUUGAAGAUAUCUUUCCCAUGAAGGAUAUGGCUACCUCAUCUAAUCAGGAGAUGCCUAGUUCAUCGAAUCAGGAACCAGUUACAAUUAGCAAACCUGCCAUUUCGAUGGAACACUUUGAAAGUCCUGUGGAGGAGAACAAUGAAGUUCCUACUAGGAGCAAGAGACAGAGGACUGCAAAGUCCUUUGGUGAUGAUUUUCUUGUGUAUCUCAUAGAUGACACUCCCAGUUCUAUUUCAGAGGCCUAUGCAUCUGAAGAUGCUGACUAUUGGAAGGAAGCAGUUCGUAGCGAGAUGGAUUCCAUCUUGGCGAAUGAAACUUGGGAGAUAACUGAUCGUCCUUAUGGGUGCAAACCUAUAGGAUGCAAAUGGGUAUUCAACAAGAAGCUUAGGCCUGAUGGUACUAUUGAAAAGUACAAGGCUUGGCUCGUGGCUAAGGGUUAUACCCAAAAGGAAGGUGAAGACUUCUUUGAUACUUACUCACCUGUGGCUCGACUGACCACUAUUCGAGUUCUACUUUCACUAGCUGCCUCGCAUGGUUUUCUCGUUCAUCAAAUGGAUGUUAAGACUGCUUUCCUAAAUGGAGAGUUGGACGAGGAAAUUUAUAUGGAACAACCAGAUGGGUUUGUACUAGAUGGUCAGGAAGGAAAAGUGUGCAAGUUGCUGAAGUCUUUGUAUGGACUCAAGCAAGCACCCAAACAGUGGCAUGAGAAGUUGAAAGAACUUUAACAGCUGCAGGCUUUGUUGUGAACGAAGCUGAGAAAUGUGUGUACUAUCGCCAUGGUGGGGGCGAGGGAGUUAUCCUUUGCUUGUAUGUUGAUGACAUACUGAUUUUCGGAACAAAUCUGAAUGUUAUUAAGGAGGUCAAGAAUUUCCUAACUCGCUGUUUUGAGAUGAAGGAUUUAGGAGUGGCUGAUGUCAUUCUGAACAUCAAGUUGUUGAGAGACGAUGAUGGUGGGAUUACAUUGCUUCAAUCUCACUAUGUGGAAAAGAUCUUGAGUCGCUUUGGCUAUAGUGACUGCAAGCCCUCUCCAACACCUUAUGAUGCAAGUGUGUUACUUCGAAAGAAUCGAAGAAUUGCUAGAGAUCAAUUGAAAUAUUCUCAGAUUAUUGGCUCGCUUAUGUACUUAGCAAGUGCUACAAGACCUGGCAUCUCUUUUGCUGUUAGCAAACUGAGUCGGUUUGUCGCAAAACCAGGAGAUGUGCAUUGAAAAGCUCUAGAGAGAGUUUUGCGUUAUUUGAAAGGCACUGCAAAUUAUGGAAUUCACUACACCGGGCACCCAAAGGUGCUUGAAGGGUAUAGUGACUCAAACUGGAUCUCAGAUGCUGAUGAGAUAAAGGCCACGAGCGGAUAUGUAUUCACUCAUGGAGGUGGCGCUGUUUCUUGGAAGUCUUGCAAGCAGACCAUCUUAACGAGGUCAACAAUGGAAGCAGAACUCACAGCACUAGAUACAGCUACGGUCGAAGAAGAUUGGCUUCGUCGGCUCUUGAAUGACUUGCCGGUUGUUAAGAAACCUGUACCGGGUAUCCUUAUGAACUGCGACAAUCAAACUGUGAUUACGAAAGUGGGCAGCUCAAAGGAUAACAUGAAGUCAUCAAGACACGUUUAGAGAAGGUUAAAGUCUGUCAGGAAAAUGAAAAACUCCGGAGUUAUUGCAUUAGAUUAUAUCCAAACGUCUAAAAAUCUGGCAGAUCCUUUUACUAAGGGUCUAUCACGUAAUGUGAUAGAUAAUGCAUCGAGGGAGAUGGGUAUGAGACCCACAACAUGAGUUGUUCACAGUGGUAACCUAUUCUUUGUGAUCAGAGAUCCCGUGAAUUAGAUGUGGAAGACAAGCUGUUGGUCAACUGAGAGGAGAGUAUCCUUACUAUUCACAAUAGCACUCCAUUUGAUGCAAUACUCUCCUAAUCUGCAUGGCAGGUUGAUGUAUAUCUUAAUGUGUUCUAAAUGGCUCAUUUAAGCAGAGAUGUUAUCCUGCAGAACAUCUUUUGAAGAACACACCUAUAUGAGUCUGAUUGUCAAACGUCGCAAUCUAUGAGAGUAGGGUUCUCUCUAGUAAACUCAUGAAAGGUCACGGAGUAUGAAGCAUAAGCUCCACCCGCGGGGAAGACCCACGGUAGCCACGUAUCGGUCAAGGCUUUAUGUGAAGCUAGAUUCGCAGAAAACUUGCAGUUCAAGGCCCAGUCCACUGUUCAAGUUGCUUACUAGUGUAGCAUAGAGUUCUAGGUGGAAGUUCAACUUAAUAGUCUCCACUGCAGUACCGGUAUAUAAAAUAGUGUUUUGGAACCAAAGGCAAUUUUUGUGUGCCUCUGGGAUCUGGUGGGGGAUUGCUGGAAUUUUGUCUAUUUUGGGCCUAGCCCAAUAGCAGUUUCAGAAAUUCUUAAUAAAUCCUAGAGGCCCACGCAGCCCAUUCGUGCAAGGCAAGAGGUGGAACUAAAGUUUAGUCCCACAUUGCUAGUUUAGAGGGAGUUGGACCUCUUUAUAAGGAGGUUCUUUCCCCACUUGUAUGAGCAUGCGAACAAGAGGGACAUCCACGCGCGCUCCUCCUCCGCCGCCCGCCUCGUCACGACGCGCCGCUGGUUGUGGGAAUGAGCCGAUGUCUAAAUUUUUGCCACGCACUACGGGUAUACGAAAGGUCACACGGAAGCUGAAAAGAUUUUUGCGAAAGUGGAGUUCGAAUGCGAACGGUGCAGCCCUUCGGCUGCUGGCUGUUCGCUUCAUCUCCGUCUCUUCGUUUCACCUCCCGUCGGUGCCCUCUCGCAUCCUUCUCUUGCGCCUAUAAAAGGGAGGUCGCUCCUCCCAGAAAGACGCACCAGAACUACUCCUUCCCUCACCAUCGGUUCCAUCUCUGAGCUGCUGCUGUCUUCCUCAUCCCGGCUUGCGGCGUGCACCGCACGUCGGGACAGUAGGCCUCCGAAACUGCACCUUUUGAGUCCUGUGCGAGAGAAGGGUGAUAAGGUUUUUGGGGAGCGCUCAGCGCGACUACUGGCUGCUUCAUCACGGACAAUCCGGUCACCGAUGACUACUUUCCCGACGACGACUUCUUCCCCGACGUCCACGACCUCCUCGACGACAUGGCAGGCGAGGACACCAACCCCAAGUCCAGCGCUUCUGCUGCUGUUGUCCCGUACGUAUUCUUCUCCUUUCUAUUAGAGGUCCUGCUACAGUUCCUUGUUCUAGUAUUUGCCCUAGAUAUGUUAGACUCUAUUUCAUAUAUGCAACUUGCUAUACUGUCUGCUCUAGAUAUGUUUAGUUACAGUUCAUAUAUGAAGAUGCUGUUUACCUUCUCUUUGUCAAAUCGCAUGGCUUGUUUUAUCACUACUAUUCUGGUCAUGCUUUAUCUAGUAUUUCUGUUAAUAAAAUCAUUCGGUAAAUUGCUCAGAUUUCCAACAUAAACCUCUAUGUAUCUAGAUCGCGGCAUAUGUUUCCAUGUAUCUAGAUCUAUGCACGCACAUCAAAAUUUCGGUUGCUAAGUUGCUAGAAAGCGAAACUAGCCUAUUACAGCAAUAACAUUGGGGUAUUACUGUCGACUGAUCAAAACAUAGCUCUGAAACUUGUUAUCCAUAUUCAGCCGCUUGUGGCUCUGCUAACUUAGGCAUGCCUUUUUUGAUGUAGCUGCAACAGAGAAGAGCUCGAUUUAGCAAGUAAACUUUGUGGCACAAAAAAGAAAAGCCAAAAAACUGUUUGAUCCAAGUUUGUUAUGACUUCUCUGAUUGUGCAAUAUAUUUUGUGAUACAAACAAAUGAUUUUUGAUGCAAGUUCCCUUCCUAGGUUCCAUAGCAUUGGUCUCUGAACACAUAAUUUGAUAAAUCACUUUGAUAUCAUUUACGCUAGUCAGUCAUAAUUCUCACCUUUACUUGCAAAUUUUGCUGAGCUUCCCAUAGUUGGAGCCCUUGUUACAUCCCUUGUUUCCACCAGCUUUCCCACUCUUCUUGAUGUUCUCCUCCUUAGUCUUGCGGACGAAUUCUUCUUUCUUCUUUUUAUCGUACUCAUGUUUCUUUUCAUGCUCUGCUUUAUUGCCUCUCAGGUAAUGGCGACACUUUGGGCAGUACCAAGGUUCUCCCCCGCCAGCCACGACAGCUGCAGCAGCCACUGCUCCUCCUCCAAACGGUACGGCCAUGGCCUGCAAAGACAAAGCAAUAUCAGACCGUUGCAUCCAUGAGCAUGUUUUUGCAAAAGGAAAUUGCUAAUUGAACAUUUGAUUCUAUUUAUCUUGGUGCUCUUUACUUUUGAAUGAACAAAGUUUCCA
rnacentral:lncRNA from 1 species